rnacentral:rRNA from 1 species
UACGUAGGGCGCAAGCGUUGUCCGGAAUUAUUGGGCGUAAAGAGCUCGUAGGCGGCUUGUCACGUCGGGUGUGAAAGCCCGGGGCUUAACCCCGGGUCGGCAUUCGAUACGGGCAGGCUAGAGUGUGGUAGGGGAGAUCGGAAUUCCUGGUGUAGCGGUGAAAUGCGCAGAUAUCAGGAGGAACACCGGUGGCGAAGGCGGAUCUCUGGGCCAUUACUGACGCUGAGGAGCGAAGGCGUGGGGAGCGAACAGG